rnacentral:rRNA from 1 species
AUUGAACGCUGGCGGCAUGCCUUACACAUGCAAGUCGAACGGUAACGCGGGGCAACCUGGCGACGAGUGGCGAACGGGUGAGUAAUGCAUCGGAACGUGCCCAGUAGUGGGGGAUAGCCCGGCGAAAGCCGGAUUAAUACCGCAUACGACCUACGGGUGAAAGCGGGGGACUCGCAAGAGCCUCGCGCUAUUGGAGCGGCCGAUGUCAGAUUAGGUAGUUGGUGGGGUAAAAGCCUACCAAGCCGACGAUCUGUAGCUGGUCUGAGAGGACGACCAGCCACACUGGGACUGAGACACGGCCCAGACUCCUACGGGAGGCAGCAGUGGGGAAUUUUGGACAAUGGGCGCAAGCCUGAUCCAGCUAUGCCGCGUGUCUGAAGAAGGCCU